rnacentral:lncRNA from 1 species
CGAGGCGGGGUUGGUGGUGGCUGAGGCGGACGGGGUGGUGGAGGCCACGGGGGAGCUGUUGGCGUUCUUGUUCUUCUCCUGGGAGUACACCACUGACAGUGCGAUGAUUGUGCACACGGCUGCCACGCCCAGGAGGAUCCCCAGGAUGCCCAGGGACUUGGAAAUAUAGAAGCCCUUGGCCAUGGUGAUGGUGGGGAGGCGGCUCAGGGAGCCUCAGGCCAGGCAGAGAACGGAGCAGCCCCAGGCCGGGCUUAUAUCCCCAAAGGGGAGGAGCCCCACAACAGGCAGACUGGGCAAAAAUUAAC